CUUCCCACUCGGGGGUUGAAUGCAUACGAUGCAUGAGCAGCCAGGUCUGUGUCGGGGGUGCUUUGUGGUGGCCUGAGAUGAUGUAGGGAGAGACUCACCCUCUCCCAAGAUAGCUAAGUUCGCAAGGGUGUCAAGCCCCUCUAAAGCAUCAACGUUCUCCGUAUCCUGUUUAGCAGCCUUAAUUUUCUUUGAAGCAGCUGUCAACCACAACCAAUUUGCUAAGUUCAUAAUGAGUUAAACAGUACAUUCAUGAUAAUGCAGAAAUGAAAAUGUACGACUGUUGAUAGAGAACAACAAUCAAAUGUGUGCUUACCUUUCUGGAUCCCAUGAGUUACUGGAACAGGUCCAUUUGGAAGGAAGAAGAACAUUGGAAGGCAAUCUACGCCACUUAAAACAAUCUUCGCAUUGAGCCCAUUGAAUCUUUUCCCUGACAUAAAAAACACAGGGAUUGGUAUUUGCUUUCAUUUAAGACAUCUAUUCCUUCCUAUAUAAUAAGCUAGCAAUGUAAAUAUUUCAAUAUUUGCAUAAACCCACCAAUAUUUCAACAUUAUUCAGGAAGUUUACAGCCAA